rnacentral:rRNA from 1 species
GACGAACGCUGGCGGCGUGCCUAAUACAUGCAAGUAGAACGCUGAAGGAGGAGCUUGCUUCUCUGGAUGAGUUGCGAACGGGUGAGUAACGCGUAGGUAACCUGCCUGGUAGCGGGGGAUAACUAUUGGAAACGAUAGCUAAUACCGCAUAAGAGUAGAUGUGGCAUGACAUUUGCUUAAAAGGUGCAAUUGCAUCACUACCAGAUGGACCUGCGUUGUAUUAGCUAGUUGGUGGGGUAACGGCUCACCAAGGCGACGAUACAUAGCCGACCUGGGAGGGGGAUCGGCCACACUGGGACUGGGACACGGCCCAGACUCCUACGGGAGGCAGCAGUAGGGAAUCUUAGGAAAUGGAAGGAAGUCUGACCGAGAAACGCCGAGUGAGUGAAGAAGGUUUUCGGAUCGUAAAGCUCUGUUGUAAGAGAAGAACGAGUGUGAGAGUGGAAAGUUCACACUGUGACGGUAUCUUAUCAGAAAGGGACGGCUAACUACGUG